GGGCCUCAGUUUGUCCUCAGCAAACUAGGAGAUUGGGAAAACUCUGCAGCGGUCCAUUUUCAGGCAUUGAGAGAAAGAGAAUCUCUGGGGUAAAACCCCAGCGAUGGACCCCAGCAAACUUUCCAUGGAACAGGGUAAAGCAUUCUUACAGGAGAUCGGGAUCCCACAAAGAGAUCUCGACUUGAUGACAGAGAAAUGGGUAGUUGAUGCUUCUGUGGAGGUUCUGCUACGGUUCCCUCUGUUGCCAGGAGAGGACCCAGCUGCCCGCUGUGUCCCCGAUAAGAAAUGUCAGCCUCCAGUGCACAAGCCUCACGGAGCUCCACAGAGACCUGGAGUCCAAGAGGAGAGAAAAUCCAAUAGUCAACUCCCAGGGAAGAAUGCCCAGAAGCCCCAGGAGGUGAGGCAGAUAAAAAGUCACUACAUUCACCAACUGCCCCAGAGACCCACUAUGGCUCAGAAUGUGAAGAAGCUACUGAGGGGACCUGUGGAGCGGAGGACUACUUUCUCAGGCAAGAAUAACAAGGUGAAGUGCAGAAACUGUGGUGCUUUUGGACACCUGGCCACCAGCAAGUGGUGCCCCAUGAAGUCCUGGGCUGGGGCCGUUGCUCCACAGCCUUUGGGCUCCAAGAAGAAGGAGAAUCUGGAACCGAGGAGACCCCAGGACAUCCAGACUCCAACGUUCUUUAAUGAGGCUGUCAGAGAGCAGGAACCAGAACCAAGGCAAGAGGUGCCGCAGAGAAAUGCUGUUCCCCAGACCCACCCUGUGAGUUGCCAAGGGAAGAGACAGAGACAGGAGCCUGAGGAUUUGCGUGCCUUCAUGAGGCAACCCACCCGGCCGAUGCCUGUCCAAACGUCCAAGAGGAGACCUGUCCUAGGCCCUGUCCUCAUGGGUCAGCCACUGGCCCAGAUCCCCAAGAAGAGAUGACUCUGCCCUUGAACUGAGUGCUUGUGGACACAAGACACGCGGUGGACGCUAAUGCCUCACCCAGCUGUGCAGACCUUCUGCCUGGAGGCCACUCUCAUGGCCGAGUCGACAGCCAGUGGGCCUGAUGGUAUCCCGUGGGAUAUUCCACUCCACCCGGCUUGCCCUGGGUUGUGUCUGUGACCUCUGGGCACAAAGCUAAUGUCCUGAUAUGGGCUCAAAGCCCAGCCCCCAACGUGCUGUACAACAGUGUGCCCAGAACUCAGUGCAGCUUCCAGGCAUGACUUGAGAGGGCUUCCUAGAUCCCUGUGCAGACUUGCCAGAAUCUCUCACCAAAAGGCAAGACUUGGCCUAUCUUACAGCUUCCAGCCCCAUUCUCAGCACCUGCUCUGGGGCUGCCAGGCUCUCCCAUGUCCCCUCAGUACACCUGGACUUGGAUCCUGACAAGCACCCACGUGACCAGGAAGACACCAGCCGUGACGCCCAACUUUUUCCUGGCUGUACUCUGAGGCAUGUGAGAUCUUAGUUCCCUAACUGGGAACGAACCCUCACCCCCUGCAUUGGGAGAGUGGAGUCUUUACCACUGGACGCCCCCGGGAAAGCCCCUUUAUGCCUGCAGGCUCCACCUAACUCAGUUUGGCCGAGCCCCGUCAAGAUCUGCAGUGUCCCCAGUGGUGGGAAGGAGACAGGAGGAUGAACUGAGUAGUAGCACUGAAACGUAUUUUACCAUGUAUAAAAUAGAUAGCUAGUGGGAAGUUGGUGUAGAACACAGGGAGCUCAACCCAGUGCUCUGUCAUACCCUAGAGGGGUGGGGUGUUCCUCUUCCUGUUGUAGAAAAAACUUCUAGCAUAUAUUUAUUUUCUGUCUAUUGUAUUUCAUUUUAUUUUAUUAUAUGUAUAUUACAUAUAUAUAAUUAUAUUGUAUUAGUCUGCCAGCUAAUACAACAUUUGUCCCAAAUUGCUUAUGAUGUUCCUGUUUUCUAUUACUAUAUUGUUGAAACGAUCAGUGCCAGUGCCGUACUGCAUUCAGUUAGAUAAUUCUGACUCCCGAGGUAUCUAAUGAGGUUCCUUCUCCCACAGCAACCCACCCGGCCGAUGCCUGUCCAAACGUCCAAGAGGAGACCUGUCCUAGGCCCUGUCCUCAUGGGUCAGCCACUGGCCCAGAUCCCCAAGAAGAGAUGACUCUGCCCUUGAACUGAGUGCUUGUGGACACAAGACACCCGGUGGACGCUAAUGCCUCACCCAGCUGUGCAGACCUUCUGCCUGGAGGCCCCUCUCAUGGCGAGUCGACAGCCAGUGGGCCUGAUGGUGUCCCGUGGGAUAUUCCACUCCACCCGGCUUGCCCUGGGUUGUGUCUGUGACCUCUGGGCACAAAGCUAAUGUCCUGAUAUGGGCUCAAAGCCCAGCCCCAACGUGCUGUACAACAGUGUGCCCAGAACUCAGUGCAGCUUCCAGGCAUGACUUGAGAGGGCUUCCUAGAUCCCUGUGCAGACUUGCCAGAAUCUCUCACCAAAAGGCAAGACUUGGCCUAUCUUACAGCUUCCAGCCCCAUUCUCAGCACCUGCUCUGGGGCUGCCAGGCUCUCCCAUGUCCCCUCAGUACACCUGGACUUGGAUCCUGACAAGCACCCACGUGACCAGGAAGACACCAGCCGUGGCCCAACUUUUCCUGGCUGUACUCUGAGGCAUGUGAGAUCUUAGUUCCCUAACUGGGAACGAACCCUCACCCCCUGCAUUGGGAGAGUGGAGUCUUUACCACUGGACGCCCCCGGGAAAGCCCCUUUAUGCCUGCAGGCUCCACCUAACUCAGUUUGGCCGAGCCCCGUCAAGAUCUGCAGUGUCCCCAGUGGUGGGAAGGAGACAGGAGGAUGAACUGAGUAGUAGCACUGAAACGUAUUUUACCAUGUAUAAAAUAGAUAGCUAGUGGGAAGUUGGUGUAGAACACAGGGAGCUCAACCCAGUGCUCUGUCAUACCCUAGAGGGGUGGGGUGGGGUGGGGAGGUGGGAGUGAGUUUCUAGAGGCAAGGUACAUAUGUAGACUUAUGGCUGACUGUUGUGUGGCAGAAAUCAACACAGCCUUGUAAAGGAAUUAUCCUCCAGUUAAAACUAAAUUAAAAAAAAAAAAAGAUCUGGAGUGUCUCUAAUCCCCACCACGAGUGUUUCUGGUCAGCCAGACAGAAUUGUCUGUAUAAGAUGGGGUGAGGGCUGGCCAAGCUCCAAUCUCAGGUGCUUCCUCCUCUCAAGAAGUCUACACUCGUUGGUCAGAACCCUCACAGCAGCGAGGAAUCUGAGGGACAGGUGUGUCCUUGUCUCUUUCUCCCCUGAGUGACUGUGUGACCCUCCCCCUCACUCCCAUGGAGGGAGGCUCAUCUUCAAGUCUUGCUAGAUUGGGAUGAGACUGAGUGGCGGAGAGUUGGGAAGAUGUGGGCAUCCCUGAGUCUGGUGAAUCUGCACUUGCCUGUGCAGAUUCUGGAACUCCAGAUAUGACUGGGGACCGGGGGACAAACACUGCCUUGACGUUUUGUAAAUUUCUGUUGUAUUUAAAAUGGAGCUUGCGAAAUUAUCAUAGGUAGUCCUUUGUAAGUUAGCUAUGUAAGAAGUGGAAUACAAAGAAACUGUUAUAAUGUCAGUAAAAGCUAUGAAAUUCAUCCGUGUGGAUGAGUAAAUGACUAAAAUAUGGGUAACUGGGCAAAAGGCCUGUUUAUGAUUUUGGAAAAUGUCUGAAGAAUUUCAGUGUAAGUUCUCUUCACUUGGUUAAGGGCAAUUAUUUUCUUAACUUUUUGCAGUUUGUUAUUAAAAACCAUUAUAAUGUUAUUUUUUGAUGGAUUUCUUUAAGUAUUAAUAAAAUGCUCUGAAAUAGAAUGUAUAUUGUAGGUGUUUUCAUUUUUGUUUGUCACCUCAAGUUAAUUUUCUUUAUUUUUCUUCAUCAAAUUCUCUUGAGUAAAGAGGAUCUUGGUACCUGCAGUGAAGUCCAGAGACUGUAUCUUGUAAGAAAUACAAAUCCUUA
rnacentral:lncRNA from 1 species